UACGUAGGGGGCAAGCGUUGUCCGGAUUCAUUGGGCGUAAAGAGCUCGUAGGCGGCUUGGCAAGUCGGGUGUGAAAACUCCAGGCUCAACCUGGAGACGCCACCCGAUACUGCCAUGGCUAGAGUCCGGUAGGGGACCACGGAAUUCCUGGUGUAGCGGUGAAAUGCGCAGAUAUCAGGAGGAACACCGGUGGCGAAGGCGGCCGUCUGGGCCGACCCUGACGCUGAGGCGCGAAGGCGUGGGGAGCGAACGGG
rnacentral:rRNA from 1 species